UACGGAAGGCAGCAGGGGGAAUAUUGCACAAUGGGCGCAAGCCUGAUGCAGCCAUGCCGCGUGUAUGAAAAAGGCCUUCGGGUUGUAAAGUACUUUCAGUCGUGAGGAAGGUGUUAAGGUUAAUAACCUUAGCAAUUGACGUUAGCGACAGAAGAAGCACCGGCUAACUCCGUGCCAGCAGCCGCGGUAAUACGGAGGGUGCGAGCGUUAAUCGGAAUUACUGGGCGUAAAGGGCACGCAGGCGGUUAAUUAAGUUGGAUGUGAAAUCCCCGGGCUUAACCUGGGAAUGGCAUUCAAGACUGGUUAGCUAGAGUCUUGUAGAGGGGGUAGAAUUCCGAUGUGUAGCGGUGAAUGCGUAGAGAUGUGGAGGAAUCCGGUGCGAAGCGGCCCCUGGACAAGACUGACGCUCAUGUGCGAAAGCGUGGGGAGCAAACGAGGG
rnacentral:rRNA from 1 species